CCUACGGGGGGCAGCAGUGGGGAAUAUUGCACAAUGGGGGCAACCCUGAUGCAGCGACGCCGCGUGAGUGAAGAAGUAUUUCGUUAUGUAAAGCUCUAUCAGCAGGGAAGAAAAUGACGGUACCUGAGUAUGAAGCCCCGGCUAACUACGUGCCAGCAGCCGCGGUAAUACGUAGGGGGCAAGCGUUAUCCGGAUUUACUGGGUGUAAAGGGAGCGUAGACGGCAGUGCAAGUCUGGAGUGAAAGGCGGGGGCUCAACCCCGGGGCUGCAUUGGGAACUGCUAGGCUGGAGUGCAGGAGAGGCAGGCGGAAUUCCUAGUGUAGCGGUGAAAUGCGUAGAUAUUAGGAGGAACACCAGUGGCGAAGGCGGCUUGCUGGACGGCGACUGACGCUGAGGCUCGAAAGCGUGGGGAGCAAACAGGAUUAGAUACCCCGGUAGUC
rnacentral:rRNA from 1 species